UACGGAGGGAGCUAGCGUUGUUCGGAAUUACUGGGCUUAAAGCGCACGUAGGCGGCUUUGUAAGUUAGAGGUGAAAGCCUGGAGCUCAACUCCAGAAUUGCCUUUAAGACUGCAUCGCUUGAAUCCGAGAGAGGUGGGUGGAAUUCCGAGUGUAGAGGUGAAAUUCGUAGAUAUUCGGAGGAACACCAGUGGCGAAGGCGGCUCACUGGACCGGUAUUGACGCUGAGGUGCGAGAGCGUGGGGAGCAAACAGG
rnacentral:rRNA from 1 species